CGUCUGAAAGCAUGCUUUUUUUUUUUUUUUUUUAAGAGAAUGUCUUGUUCAGCCACCUCUCUUCUGUCAGGCUCCAGGAGUGCUGUGAUGGGCAGAGGGGCAGCUGACACUCUGUGAUGUCCCUGUUCUGUGUUCCUUGGUGAGCCCAGGGGCAACUCCAUGGUUAGCAUCCAACAGUUCAGUCACAAAGGGAUUUGAUUCCUGGGAGUUUGGGUAUCUGUGGCUAUGAUCUGAUGUUUUCAAGCUGAGACC
rnacentral:snoRNA from 1 species